rnacentral:rRNA from 1 species
GACGAACGCUGGCGGCGUGCUUAACACAUGCAAGUCGAACGGGCCCGCUCUCUUUUUUGGGGGUGGGUUGAGUGGCGAACGGGUGAGUAUCACGUGAGUAACCUGCCCCCUGCUCCUGGAUAACUGCUUGAAAGGGCGGCUAAUACGGGGUGUGCCGGCUGGUCCGCAUGGGCCUGGUCGGGAUAGUUUCAUCUUCGGGUGUUUCGGUGGGGGAUGGGCUCGCGGCCUAUCAGCUUGUUGGUGGGGUGAUGGCCCACCAAGGCGGUGACGGGUAGCCGGCCUGAGAGGGUGGGCGGCCACACUGGGACUGAGACACGGCCCAGACGCCUGCGGGAGGCAGCAGUGGGGGGUAUUGCACAAUGGGCGGAAGCCUGAUGCAGCGACGUCGCGUGAGGGAUGGAGGCCUUCGGGUUGUGAACCUCUUUCUCCGGUGGUGAAGGCCCUGUCCGUUGCGGCGGGGUUGACGGUAGCCGGGUAUGAAGCGCCGGCUAACCACGUG